rnacentral:rRNA from 1 species
UACGAAGGGGGCUAGCGUUGCUCGGAAUCACUGGGCGUAAAGCGCACGUAGGCGGCUUUUUAAGUCAGGGGUGAAAUCCUGGAGCUCAACUCCAGAACUGCCUUUGAUACUGGGAAGCUCGAGUCCGGGAGAGGUGAGUGGAACUCCGAGUGUAGAGGUGAAAUUCGUAGAUAUUCGGAAGAACAUCAGUGGCGAAGGCGGCUCACUGGCCCGGUACUGACGCUGAGGUGCGAAAGCGUGGGGAGCAAACAGG